rnacentral:tRNA from 1 species
GGUCUUGUGCUCAUGGAAGCCUCUGUCUGACCAUACAGAUGAUCCAGGUUCGAAUCCUGGCAAGGCCA